GCUUAGCCGUAAAAUAUUAAUUUACACCCACAAACGCCAGAGAAUUACGAGCGCAAGCUUAAAACUCAAAGGACUUGACGGUGUCCCAUCUACCUAGAGGAGCCUGUUCUAUAAUUGAUAAUCCCCGAUAAACCUCACCACUUUUAGCUGAUUCAGCUUGUAUACUUCCGUCGCAAGCUUACCGUAUGAACGAAUAAGUAAGCUUAAUGGUCUAUUCACCUAAACGUCAGGUCAAAGUGCAGCCAAUAAAGUGGGAAGAAAUGGGCUACAGUUUCUUAAUACAAGAACAAACGAAAAACCACCUGAAAUACUGGAUCAUGAAGGCGGAUUUAGAAGUAAAAUGAAAAUAGAGUGUUCAUUUUAACCAAGCCCUGGGACGUGU
rnacentral:rRNA from 1 species